rnacentral:rRNA from 1 species
AUACGGAGGGGGCAAGCGUUGCUCGGAAUUACUGGGCGUAAAGGGUCCGUAGGUGGCUUCGUAAGUCGGAUGUGAAAGCCCUGGGCUUAACCUGGGAAUGGCAUUCGAUACUGCAGAGCUAGAGUAUGGUAGAGGGAAGUGGAAUUUCCGGUGUAGCGGUGAAAUGCGUAGAUAUCGGAAGGAACACCAGUGGCGAAGGCGACUUCCUGGGCCAAUACUGACGCUGAGGUGCGAAAGCGUGGGGAGCAAACAGGAUUAGAAACCCCAGUAGUCC